rnacentral:rRNA from 1 species
GCCUAAAGCGUCCGUAGCCGGCUCUGUUAGUUUUCGGUUAAAUCCAUAUGCUCAACAUAUGGGCCGCCGGGAAUACUGCAAAGCUAGGGAGUGGGAGAGGUAGACGGUACUCCAUAGGAAGGGGUAAAAUCCUUUGAUCUAUGGAUGACCACCUGUGGCGAAGGCGGUCUACCAGAACACGUUCGACGGUGAGGGAUGAAAGCUGGGGGAGCAAACCGGAUUAGAUACCCGGGUAGUCCCAGCUGUAAACUAUGCAAACUCAGUGAUGCAUUGGCUUGUGGCCAGUGCAGUGCCGCAGAGAAGUCGUUAAGUUUGCCGCCUGGGAAGUACGUACGCAAGUAUGAAACUUAAAGGAAUUGGCGGGGGAGCACCACAAGGGGUGAAGCCUGCGGUUCAAUUGGAGUCAACGCCAGAAAUCUUACCCGGAGAGACAGCAGGAUGAAGGUCAAGCUGAAGACUUUACCAGACAAGCUGAGAAGUGGUGCAUGGCCGUCGCCGGCUCGUGCCGUGAGAUGUCCUGUUAAGUCAGGUAACGAGCGAGAUCCUUGCCUCUAGUUGCCACCAUUACUCUCAGGAGUAGUGGGGCGAAUUAGCGGGACUGCCGUAGUUAAUACGGAGGAAGGAGAGGGCCACGGCAGGUCAGUAUGCCCCGAA